CCCGGGCUAACGAGCAUCUCCGGGCUCUCAGGUGUGAGGCGGGGAUUCCGCAGGCAGCCCCCACCUGCUCUCAACCAGCCCGCGCCUACCGCGGCCCGCGUAAAGCCUCCUCCGGACGCUGCCAAGGUUGACCGCUCCAACACAAACUCAGAGGCCCUUUUAAUCUGGUUAAAGAGAAGCUCAACAGAAAGUGAAACAUUUCCCGUCUCUUGGAAGAGAGAACUCCGGGCCAGGAAUUUGCUGAAAGGACACACAAGAGAAGAACUGAUAAACCAGAACUAAGGAGAGGAGCCCAGGACACUUGUGGAUUCAGAGCCUCAGAUACACAUGGACAGCCUUUCAGUACGCUGUCUUUGGAUGACUUGUUCACAGCUACCUCCAGGACACAUGUGUUUCUGCUCAGAUUCAGAUUCCUGAGCAAGAGGAACUGAUUGGUGUUUCUUUGGUCAUGUGCCACCCCUGACUUUAACUCAGGUAGAUGGAGCCUGUGGUUGAAAACCCACCAGAAUCAUAUAAAACAGGCUGGGUGCAGUCCUGUGGAGUGCUGUUUCUAGGAGAAGGGGGAGAACUCUAAGGAGCGGGAAAAAGGAUUUUAUAAAAAUCGUCCUCAUCUUAUUGAUUUAAACAUUAUGCAGGUAGCAAGUGAGCAAAUCACUUGUGAAAAACCAAAUGAUGAAGAGUAUAGAAUAAUACCUUACUUCUUACCUCACUCUCACCCCCAGAGAUAGAGGGGACGUUGGAUUUGACUGCUACAACCUUCUUAUACCGUCGACCAUUUGGAAACAGCUACAUCAGCUGUAAAGGAGGAGCAUCAGCUGGU